rfam:Thermoactinomyces sp. Gus2-1 c72, whole genome shotgun sequence.
CUCUUAUCCAGAGAGGCUGAGGGACUGGCCCAAUGACGCCCGGCAACCCCGGAUAAAGAUCCGGAAGGUGCCAAUUCCUGUAGAAAUCCUUUGGGAUUUCUAGAAGAUAGGAG